rnacentral:tRNA from 1 species
GGUAAAUCUAGCUCAUCUGGUAGAGCACUGAUCUGUGGAUUCAGUGGGUUUGGUUCGAGUCCAAAGUUUUACC